AUACGGAGGAUGCAAGCGUUAUCCGGAUUUAUUGGGUUUAAAGGGUGCGUAGGCGGGACUGUAAGUCAGGGGUGAAAUACUGCAGCUUAACUGUAGCAUUGCCUUUGAAACUGCCGUUCUUGAGUACGGUUGAGGUAGGCGGAAUGUGGUGUGUAGCGGUGAAAUGCAUAGAUAUACCACAGAACGCCGAUUGCGAAGGCAGCUUACUAAGCUGUUACUGACGCUGAGGCACGAAAGCGUGGGGAUCAAACAGGAUUAGAUACCCUGGUAGUCCACGCUGUAUACGAUGAUUGCUGGUUGUUAGCGAUAUAUAGCUAGUGACUGAGCGAAAGCAUUAAGUAAUCCACCUGGGGAGUACGUCGGCAACGAUGAAACUCAAAUGAAUUGACGGGG
rnacentral:rRNA from 1 species